UAUUGGACAAUGGGGGCAACCCUGAUCCAGCCAUGCCGCGUGUGUGAAGAAGGCUUUCGGGUUGUAAAGCACUUUCAGUGGGGAGGAAGGCCUUGAGGCGAAUAGUCUUGAGGAUUGACGUUACCCACAGAAGAAGCACCGGCUAACUCCGUGCCAGCAGCCGCGGUAAUACGGAGGGUGCGAGCGUUAAUCGGAAUUACUGGGCGUAAAGCGCGCGUAGGCGGUUUAUUAAGUCGGAUGUGAAAGCCCCGGGCUUAACCUGGGAAUUGCAUCCGAGACUGGUAGGCUAGAGUGCAGUAGAGGGGUGUGGAAUUCCCGGUGUAGCGGUGAAAUGCGUAGAUAUCGGGAGGAACAUCAGUGGCGAAGGCGGCACCCUGGACUGACACUGACGCUGAGGUGCGAAAGCGUGGGGAGCAAACAGG
rnacentral:rRNA from 1 species